rnacentral:rRNA from 1 species
AUUGAACGCUGGCGGCAUGCCUUACACAUGCAAGUCGAACGGUAACAGGUUAAGCUGACGAGUGGCGAACGGGUGAGUAAUGUAUCGGAACGUGCCCAGUCGUGGGGGAUAACUGCUCGAAAGAGCAGCUAAUACCGCAUACGACCUGAGGGUGAAAGCGGGGGAUCGCAAGACCUCGCGCGAUUGGAGCGGCCGAUAUCAGAUUAGGUAGUUGGUGAGGUAAAGGCUCACCAAGCCGACGAUCUGUAGCUGGUCUGAGAGGACGACCAGCCACACUGGGACUGAGACACGGCCCAGACUCCUACGGGAGGCAGCAGUGGGGAAUUUUGGACAAUGGGCGCAAGCCUGAUCCAGCCAUGCCGCGUGCGGGAAGAAGGCCUUCGGGUUGUAAACCGCUUUUGUCAGGGAAGAAAAGGUUCUGGCUAAUACCUGGGACUCAUGACGGUACCUGAAGAAUAAGCACCGGCUAACUACGUGCCAGCAGCCGCCGUAAUAC